rnacentral:lncRNA from 1 species
GGGCAGGGUCUGCUAUGGACCCCUGCACAUGACCUCACUUCCUUGGCGACAGGUCCAAACAGAACUCGGAACCCUCGAGUUACCGGACACCACAGUCUCACGACGGCUGGCUCACAGUCACUUGGCUGGAGACAGCGAGCAGUGAACACGCUGUGCUGCCUGCCCAGGCCUCGAGGCCGCAGCCUCAGGACCCCUCGCAGGGAAAGCACUUGGGAACGAGUGAGAGGAUGGAUGACUAAGUCCAGGCGCAACAGGCCACUGGGCAGGAACCGCCCUGCCCUCGUGGACAGCACAGGGCAGGCCUCACCAGACCCGGCGACCGAUGACCUUGAGAUGAGAGCGAGCCCAGGCGAGGUGUCCCCGGGCCUGGCCAUCAGACGCGUAGAGCCACUGAGUCCAGGACAGGAACACUUAGGCCUGGCCGUCACUAUUGGAAAUCUGGAGGCCCAGAGCUUGGAUGAGGUCUGCAUGGUGAGGGCCGCAUGGGCAAGCAUGCCGUCCCCCCUGACGGAGGACUUCCUGGACAGCUACUCCAUUUAUGACAGCUCCUUCCCGGAGUCCGCUGAGUCUUGCAUUUCCUUCCUGUGGGAGGGGAUGCUGGGAAGCUCCGUGUCGUCUUCCCUUAACUCCUUAUUAGAGCUGCAUGACCAGGGGGAUUCAGCAGAUGAACUUCUCCUGGACCCACAGGAGCACGCUGAGCCCGGGGAGGCAGAGCCCCAGAGUGAGGAGGACUGGGCUGCGGGGCCAGCUCUAGCCCAACUUGAAGUCGCACCUGUAGAGUGUGUGCCAGCUCCACUUUUAGCUCCCUCAUCGGCUCUGACACCACAGCCAGAGCCAGCGCCAGGAGCCCCUUCUCCACCAGCUGCACAGCUGGGGGUCCCUACGGAUGCACGCCAGGCAUCAGUUCCUGAGCUCCAGCUGGGCCAAACUACUGCCCCACCCCUGCCAUUCCCGUCCAUUACUGUUGGACAUGUUUUGGCAUAUAUUUUUGCUCUUGUUUUCUGGAUUUAUGUAAACAAUAGAAUUAUUUUUAAAUAAAAGUUAAGAAUUUAGUCUUGUUUAAAGCAACCAGCUUGGUGGCAU